CCGAUGGCCCUAGUUUCUAUGUUGAAGAAAACAAAUUUGCUUUUAAAGUCUUGGGUUCAAAACUUGAAGCCAGCCCUUCUGGGAUAGACGAAGACGUUGGACCUAUAGCAGAGACUAAGCAAGGAAGGACUCUGAAGUGACCUGGAGAAGAAGCUGGCAUCUUUUAUUCCCGAGUUGAACAUGAACCUGGCCCAAGACAUGGAAGAAUAAAAGGAGGAGACCCAGGAGGCGCUGGAAGAGCUGUUUGGGGCUGCGAUCCUGUCUGCUCCCUUCCUUCCUUCCUCCUGUCACCUCCUCUUCUCCAUGAUGCAAAGAUGGUGAGAUUGGAAGGCCACAAGAUGGUACUAUGAUCAGAGGACCCAGGGACUUCAUCCUGCCCUUAAGAUUCCCAAGGUCGGGACUUCGUUGGUGUCCAGAGCUUACGACUCCGCGCUCCCCAUGCGGGGGGCGGGGGUUCGAUCCCUGGUCAGGGAACUAAGAUCCCAUGUACUGCAACUAGAGAGCCCGCACAUCCCAACGAAGACCCAGCACAGCCUAA